rnacentral:lncRNA from 1 species
AGGAGAGGCUGGCUCUGGGGAUGCCAUUUUUGGUGCUAACCCACAUGGAGAAAAGGAAUUCAUGGCUGCAAGAAUCACAGUGGCUAUUGCCAGAGAUGACAGAAUGGCCAAACCAUUCAGGUUAGACAGGACCUUGGGAGGUCUCUAGUCCAACCACCUGCUCACAUUGGAAUCAACACCGAAUUCACACCAAGCUUCUCAGGGCUUUAUCCAACAGUGUCCUGAAAGCUUCCAAGAACAGAGAGUUCAUAACCUCUCUGGACCCUUCUUCAAAUGCUUCAUGACCCUCAUUGAUUUUUCUCCCUUAUAUCCAAUUUAAUUGCCCUUGCGUCAGCUUAUAGCCAUUGCCUCUCAUUCUCCUGCCAUGAAUAGCUGCAAAAACCUGCUUCUUUAUUGAUGGUAACCUUGAGUUGGGAAGCUGCUAUGAGUGCCCCCCCACCCCGGCCAAAGUCUUCCCUUCUCCAGGCUGAACAAACCCCAUUCCCUCAGCCUCUCCUCACAAGGCAAGUGCUCCAGACCCCAACCAGCAUGGGGAUCUGCCACUGAACUCACUCUGAGUGAUCAGCAGCAUUUUUCUACAGGGGGGCUAAAAUGGAUGCAGAAUCUGGAUGUGCUCUAACAUGUGCUGAGUAGAGAGGGAUAAACAGUUCCCUCAGUCUCCUGGCUGCACUCCUGUUCAUGCGCCCCAGGAAGUUGCGGCCUCCAUUGCUGCCAUGGCACRCUGCUGGCUCACAUCUGGCUUGCUGCCCACAAAGAUUCCCAGGCCCUUUUCAGCAGAGCUGCUGCCCAGCCAGGCACUCUCCAGCCUGUAUUGCUGCAGGKUGUUGGUCUAUCUCAGGUGCAGGGCCUGACAGCCCAUUUCUCCUGCCUGCUAAGGUCCCUCUGAAUGGCAGCCCUCAAGCAUAUGAUGCCCAAUUAGGUGUCAUCUACCACUGUGAGGUGAGGUGUGUCCUGCAGGUUGCUGAUGAGCCUGUUAGACAGGACAGGUCACCGUACAGACCUCUGCAUACUCCACUUGUCACUGUGUUGCAGGUAAAGCCUGACCCAUUCAUAAAAAACCCUCUGAGCUUGAUCAUCCAACCAGCUUUUCACCCAUCUGAUUGUCUACCCAGCCUAUUGUAA